GAACGGGUGAGUAACACGUGAGUAACCUGCCCUUGACUCUGGGAUAAGCGUUGGAAACGACGUCUAAUACCGGAUACGAACCGAGGAGGCAUCUCCUGCGGUUGGAAAGAAUUUUGGUCAAGGAUGGACUCGCGGCCUAUCAGCUAGUUGGUGAGGUAACGGCCCACCAAGGCGACGACGGGUAGCCGGCCUGAGAGGGUGACCGGCCACACUGGGACUGAGACACGGCCCAGACUCCUACGGGAGGCAGCAGUGGGGAAUAUUGCACAAUGGGCGAAAGCCUGAUGCAGCAACGCCGCGUGAGGGACGACGGCCUUCGGGUUGUAAACCUCUUUUAGCAGGGAAGUAAGCGAAAGUGACGGUACCUGCAGAAAAAGCACCGGCUAACUACGUGCC
rnacentral:rRNA from 1 species